GAUGAACGCUGGCGGCGUGCCUAAUACAUGCAAGUCGAGCGAACAGACGAGGAGCUUGCUCCUCUGACGUUAGCGGCGGACGGGUGAGUAACACGUGGAUAACCUACCUAUAAGACUGGGAUAACUUCGGGAAACCGGAGCUAAUACCGGAUAAUAUAUUGAACCGCAUGGUUCAAUAGUGAAAGACGGUUUUGCUGUCACUUAUAGAUGGAUCCGCGCCGCAUUAGCUAGUUGGUAAGGUAACGGCUUACCAAGGCAACGAUGCGUAGCCGACCUGAGAGGGGGAUCCGGCAAACCGGAAACGGAGACCCGGUCCAACCUCCUAGGGAGGGAAGAGGAGGGAAAUCUUCCGAAAGGGGGGAAAGCUUGACGGGGAACCGCGGGGUGGGUGAUAAAGGUCUUGGAAUCGUAAACCUCUGUUAUUGGGAAAAAAAAAAUGGGAAGGUAACUAUGAACGUCUGGACGGUACCUAAUAAGAAGGCCACGGCUAACUACGU
rnacentral:rRNA from 1 species